GUUUUAGUAGUUGAAGACAACAGCGGUUUUUCAAGUCGCAGGUUUUGGUGUAAAGCCAAAUUAAAAUA
rnacentral:tRNA from 1 species